rnacentral:rRNA from 1 species
UACGGAGGAUCCGAGCGUUAUCCGGAUUUAUUGGGUUUAAAGGGUGCGCAGGCGGGUUGUUAAGUCGGUGGUGAAAUCCCGGGGCUCAACCCCUGGCUUGCCAUCGAAACUGGUUACCUUGAGUGUGGGUGAGGCAGGCGGAAUUCGUGGUGUAGCGGUGAAAUGCAUAGAUAUCACGAGGAACUCCGAUCGCGUAGGCAGCUUGCCAUUCCAUAACUGACGCUCAUGCACGAAGGCGUGGGGAUCAAACAGGAUUAGAUACCCUGGUAGUCCACGCGGUAAACUAUGAUUACUGGUUGUUCGCGAUACACUGUGAGCGACUGAGCGAAAGCGUUAAGUAAUCCACCUGGGGAGUACGUUCGCAAGAAUGAAACUCAAAGGAAUUGACGGGGGCCCGCACAAGCGGAGGAACAUGUGGUUUAAUUCGAUGAUACGCGAGGAACCUUACCCGGGCUUGAAAUGCGGACGGCAGGCGGAGAGACCCGCCUUCCCCUCGGGGCGUCCGUGUAGGUGCUGCAUGGUU